rnacentral:rRNA from 1 species
AGCGGAAGGCCCUUCGGGGUACUCGAGCGGCGAACGGGUGAGUAACACGUGAGCAACCUGCCCUAGGCUUUGGGAUAACCCUCGGAAACGGGGGCUAAUACCGAAUAGGACCUGACCUCGCAUGGGGUUGGGUGGAAAGUUUUUCGGCCUGGGAUGGGCUCGCGGCCUAUCAGCUUGUUGGUGGGGUGAUGGCCUACCAAGGCGACGACGGGUAGCCGGCCUGAGAGGGCGACCGGCCACACUGGGACUGAGACACGGCCCAGACUCCUACGGGAGGCAGCAGUGGGGAAUAUUGCACAAUGGGCGGAAGCCUGAUGCAGCGACGCCGCGUGAGGGAUGACGGCCUUCGGGUUGUAAACCUCUUUCAGCAGGGACGAAGCGCAAGUGACGGUACCUGCAGAAGAAGCGCCGGCCAACUACGUGCCAGCAGCCGCGGUAAGACGUAGGGCGCGAGCGUUGUCCGGAUUUAUUGGGCGUAAAGAGCUCGUAGGCGGCUUGUCGCGUCGACCGUGAAAACUUGGGGCUCAACCCCAAGCCUGCGGUCGAUACGGGCAGGCUAGAGUUCGGUAGGGGAGACUGGAAUUCCUGGUGUAGCGGUGAAAUGCGCAGAUAUCAGGAGGAACACCGGUGGCGAAGGCGGGUCUCUGGGCCGAUACUGACGCUGAGGAGC